rnacentral:rRNA from 1 species
GAGGUGUAUACACCUAGCGGCGGACGGGUGAGUAACACGUGGGUAACCUGCCUCAGAGAGGGGAAUAGCCUUCCGAAAGGAAGAUUAAUACCGCAUAAUAUACGCAUUUAGCAUUAUGAGCGUAUCAAAGGAGAAAUCCGCUUUGAGAUGGGCCCGCGGCGCAUUAGCUAGUUGGAGAGGUAACGGCUCACCAAGGCGACGAUGCGUAGCCGACCUGAGAGGGUGAUCGGCCACAUUGGAACUGAGACACGGUCCAGACUCCUACGGGAGGCAGCAGUGGGGAAUAUUGCACAAUGGGGGAAACCCUGAUGCAGCAACGCCGCGUGAAUGAUGAAGGCCUUCGGGUCGUAAAGUUCUUUGAUUGGGGAC